GUCCCUCUGCUCCACGCUUGCACCCGGCAACUAUAGUUACUCAUCUCGGAGUUGCGCUGUCUGCUGAAAUGCGUUGCCAGCCAGUUUGUUACCAGUUGCUGAGUUAGAUCGCCUGCCCGUUGCGUCUCUUUCAGUCGCUCCAAAUGUUGACGGCCUGAGACAACGUUUGAAGUCAGUAAUUAAUUGUGUAGUGUACUUGUUUCCAUGGUAACACUAACGGGUGUUUCGUUGCGAUCGUUAGGAAACAGAACGUGUUGUAAAAUGUACAUCUGUCUCGGUCCAACUGGUGCUGGAAAAACGUUAUUACUUAAGCGAUUGCAAAACAAAGAAGAAAUUGAUGUGACUUCGAGUACAGUCCCUACAGUGGGACUAAACAUCGUUCCAGUCAAAUUAUCGAGCCAAAAAGAAAUAACAAUAAGAGAAAUCGGGGGAAUAAUGGCACCAAUGUGGAGGAAUUAUUACCAAGGAGUGAAGAAAAUUAUUUAUGUAGUCGAUGCCAGUAAUUUAUGUCAAAUUUCAGCAGCGGGAGUGUUGUUGUACUCUAUUCUUGCAGAACCAUGUCUCAAACAUACGAAGGUGUUACUUGUUCUGUCGAAAAUGGAUGCUUCAUACAGACAGAUGAGGAACGAGGCGUUACUUAUUUUGCAAUUAAAUCGGCUGAAAAAAGAAAUAACACAAGAGAUAACAGUUGUUGAAACGAGUUCAAUAACAGGUGAAGGAAUCGACAGAGUUAUGACUUGGUUACAAGGUGCCCGGCAACAAAAGAAAUAAAAUGUUAGCAGAAAUUCUUUCCUUGCACGGAUCUGCAUAGCAUUCCACAAUAAUGAGCACCACGAACGGCCUAAAUGGUGAACCAGUAUCUUCCUAUGCGUCUUAAUUGUUAUUAGAGCAGACAACAGGGCAAUAAUUGAAAACAAGUGAAAGUGGUCAUAAAAUCAAUUUUAUUGUGAAGUCACCCACGAACUGAGUACUACGCAAUCAUGAUUACGUGAGAAUUAAGUAUCAUACAGUUUUGAGUCAGUAAAUAACAUACGGGCUGUCAUUGUGCAAUUGAUUUAUGUAAUAAAUAACUGUAAACAUAGCAAUAAUGUAUUUUGCACAUUAUUUAUCAAUGUAAUUUUUAUAAAUGUGUAAAAAACAUGUUCCGGUUCUAUAUAAUGAAAUUUGUACCAGCCCAAAAGAACUGAAUGUUUCUCCUAAACACAUCUGAACUUGUACACCAUUUGUGGAGCUUUUCGAUGUGUGGAACUCACAGAAAUCAGUGGGUGCAGUAUAAGGACGUAAUGAGAAUGUGUCUGUGGUUUCCUACUGAUGGCAUUGUAGUGAGACAUGAUGGCAAUGGAAGGUGAUAUAUUAUUCCACUGCCAAUGAAACUCAGCAUCCUCUGCAAGAUGUGCAGUAACUUCCCUGGCCAGCACAAUCUCCAGACUUGUCUCCAAGCAAGCAUGUGUUGAAUAUGAUGGGACAAGAAGGGAUCAUGCGACUCAUCAACCAACAACUCUUACAUAACUAUAUGAACAAGUCGAGUAGAUGUGGAAUAACAUAUCCCCGGACAGUAUUCGCCAUCUGUAUGACUGACUGGAUGCCAAGUCUAUCAGUGCCUGCAGUGCUGCCCACAGAGGCUGCACCACGUUCCAAUAUGGAUGCUUCAAGAUGGGUCGAUACCUGGUACCUCUCAACUGCUUGUGUUAUUAAUAUAGGAGAACCACCUCCAAGGGAACUGAUAGCAGUGCAUUUGCUUACUAACUGCCACUUGGAUCUGUUGAAGGUGUGGACAACUUGGUGAGGAACUGUGUAAAAGCUCAUUAAAAGUCUGAAAGUGCUUGUGAAAAAUACUAAACACUGAGCAAGUGAAAUUUUCUGUCUGAAAAGUGAAUUGCAAUGCACAGUGUAAUUUAACUUUUUGCAAUCCAUGAGGAUUUACUUUUUAACAAGACAGAAAUUGUACAAAGUGAUAUGUGCCAUAAAAGGCAAUCCUCGCUUACCCAAAAAGGACAUCACUGAUGAUGAAGAUGCCAAAUUUUUAUUAAAAGUAUAACCUGUGGAUAUUUUGUGCAAUUAU